UCACUAUUCCGUCUGUCAAACAAAAGAUGUCUCAAGUUUGUCAAAAUUUGAAUGUAUCUAGACAUGACUUAGUGUAUAGAUGCAUUCAAAUUUAGUCAAAUUUGAGACAUCUUUUGUUGGACGGAGAGAGUACAUG
rfam:Brachypodium distachyon strain Bd21 chromosome 3, whole genome shotgun sequence.